rnacentral:rRNA from 1 species
UUAAGCGACUAAGCGUACACGGUGGAUGCCCUGGCAGUCAGAGGCGAUGAAGGACGUGCUAAUCUGCGAUAAGCGUCGGUGAGGUGAUAUGAACCGUUAUAACCGGCGAUUUCCGAAUGGGGAAACCCAGUGUGUUUCGACACACUAUCAUUAACUGAAUCCAUAGGUUAAUGAGGCGAACCGGGGGAACUGAAACAUCUAAGUACCCCGAGGAAAAGAAAUCAACCGAGAUUCCCCCAGUAGCGGCGAGCGAACGGGGAGGAGCCCAGAGCCUGAAUCAGUGUGUGUGUUAGUGGAAGCGUCUGGAAAGGCGCGCGAUACAGGGUGACAGCCCCGUACACAAAAAUGCACAUACUGUGAGCUCGAUGAGUAGGGCGGGACACGUGGUAUCCUGUCUGAAUAUGGGGGGACCAUCCUCCAAGGCUAAAUACUCCUGACUGACCGAUAGUGAACCAGUACCGUGAGGGAAAGGCGAAAAGAACCCCGGCGAGGGGAGUGAAAAAGAACCUGAAACCGUGUACGUACAAGCAGUGGGAGCCUCUUAAUGGGGUGACUGCGUACCUUUUGUAUAAUGGGUCAGCGACUUAUAUUCUGUAGCAAGGUUAACCGAAUAGGGGAGCCGAAGGGAAACCGAGUCUUAACUGGGCGUUAAGUUGCAGGGUAUAGACCGAAACCCGGUGAUCUAGCCAUGGGCAGGUUGAAGGUUGGGUAACACUAACUGGAGGACCGAACCGACUAAUGUUGAAAAAUUAGCGGAUGACUUGUGGCUGGGGGUGAAAGGCCAAUCAAACCGGGAGAUAGCUGGUUCUCCCCGAAAGCUAUUUAGGUAGCGCCUCGUGAAUUCAUCUCCGGGGGUAGAGCACUGUUUCGGCAAGGGGGUCAUCCCGACUUACCAACCCGAUGCAAACUGCGAAUACCGGAGAAUGCUAUCACGGGAGACACACGGCGGGUGCUAACGUCCGUCGUGAAGAGGGAAACAACCCAGACCGCCAGCUAAGGUCCCAAAGUCAUGGUUAAGUGGGAAACGAUGUGGGAAGGCCCAGACAGCCAGGAUGUUGGCUUAGAAGCAGCCAUCAUUUAAAGAAAGCGUAAUAGCUCACUGGUCGAGUCGGCCUGCGCGGAAGAUGUAACGGGGCUAAACCAUGCACCGAAGCUGCGGCAGCGACACUAUGUGUUGUUGGGUAGGGGAGCGUUCUGUAAGCCUGUGAAGGUGGCCUGUGAGGGUUGCUGGAGGUAUCAGAAGUGCGAAUGCUGACAUAAGUAACGAUAAAGCGGGUGAAAAGCCCGCUCGCCGGAAGACCAAGGGUUCCUGUCCAACGUUAAUCGGGGCAGGGUGAGUCGACCCCUAAGGCGAGGCCGAAAGGCGUAGUCGAUGGGAAACAGGUUAAUAUUCCUGUACUUGGUGUUACUGCGAAGGGGGGACGGAGAAGGCUAUGUUGGCCGGGCGACGGUUGUCCCGGUUUAAGCGUGUAGGCUGGUUUUCCAGGCAAAUCCGGAAAAUCAAGGCUGAGGCGUGAUGACGAGGCACUACGGUGCUGAAGCGACAAAUGCCCUGCUUCCAGGAAAAGCCUCUAAGCAUCAGGUAACAUCAAAUCGUACCCCAAACCGACACAGGUGGUCAGGUAGAGAAUACCAAGGCGCUUGAGAGAACUCGGGUGAAGGAACUAGGCAAAAUGGUGCCGUAACUUCGGGAGAGGGCACGCUGAUAUGUAGGUGAAGCGACUUGCUCGUGGAGCUGAAAUCAGUCGAAGAUACCAGCUGGCUGCAACUGUUUAUUAAAAACACAGCACUGUGCAAACACGAAAGUGGACGUAUACGGUGUGACGCCUGCCCGGUGCCGGAAGGUUAAUUGAUGGGGUUAGCGGUAACGCGAAGCUCUUGAUCGAAGCCCCGGUAAACGGCGGCCGUAACUAUAACGGUCCUAAGGUAGCGAAAUUCCUUGUCGGGUAAGUUCCGACCUGCACGAAUGGCGUAAUGAUGGCCAGGCUGUCUCCACCCGAGACUCAGUGAAAUUGAACUCGCUGUGAAGAUGCAGUGUACCCGCGGCAAGACGGAAAGACCCCGUGAACCUUUACUAUAGCUUGACACUGAACAUUGAGCCUUGAUGUGUAGGAUAGGUGGGAGGCUUUGAAGUGUGGACGCCAGUCUGCAUGGAGCCGCCUUGAAAUACCACCCUUUAAUGUUUGAUGUUCUAACGUUGGCCCGUAAUCCGGGUUGCGGACAGUGUCUGGUGGGUAGUUUGACUGGGGCGGUCUCCUCCUAAAGAGUAACGGAGGAGCACGAAGGUUGGCUAAUCCUGGUCGGACAUCAGGAGGUUAGUGCAAUGGCAUAAGCCAGCUUGACUGCGAGCGUGACGGCGCGAGCAGGUGCGAAAGCAGGUCAUAGUGAUCCGGUGGUUCUGAAUGGAAGGGCCAUCGCUCAACGGAUAAAAGGUACUCCGGGGAUAACAGGCUGAUACCGCCCAAGAGUUCAUAUCGACGGCGGUGUUUGGCACCUCGAUGUCGGCUCAUCACAUCCUGGGGCUGAAGUAGGUCCCAAGGGUAUGGCUGUUCGCCAUUUAAAGUGGUACGCGAGCUGGGUUUAGAACGUCGUGAGACAGUUCGGUCCCUAUCUGCCGUGGGCGCUGGAGAACUGAGGGGGGCUGCUCCUAGUACGAGAGGACCGGAGUGGACGCAUCACUGGUGUUCGGGUUGUCAUGCCAAUGGCACUGCCCGGUAGCUAAAUGCGGAAGAGAUAAGUGCUGAAAGCAUCUAAGCACGAAACUUGCCCCGAGAUGAGUUCUCCCUGACCCUUUAAGGGUCCUGAAGGAACGUUGAAGACGACGACGUUGAUAGGCCGGGUGUGUAAGCGCAGCGAUGCGUUGAGCUAACCGGUACUAAUGAACCGUGAGGCUUAACCUU